UACGUAGGGUGCGAGCGUUGUCCGGAAUCAUUGGGCGUAAAGGGCGCGUAGGUGGCGGGACAAGCGUGCGGUGAAAGCCUGGGGCUCAACCCCGGGUCGGCCGUGCGAACUGUUUUGCUUGAGCACUGUAGAGGCAGGCGGAAUUCCGGGUGUAGCGGUGGAAUGCGUAGAGAUCCGGAAGAACACCGGUGGCGAAGGCGGCCUGCUGGGACGUGACUGACGCUGAGACGCGAAAGCGUGGGGAGCAAACAGG
rnacentral:rRNA from 1 species